CCUACGGGUGGCAGCAGUGAGGAAUAUUGGUCAAUGGGCGGAAGCCUGAACCAGCCAAGUAGCGUGCAGGAUGACGGCCCUACGGGUUGUAAACUUCUUUUGUCCGGGAGUAACGCGCCUUACGUGUAGGCCUUUGCAUGUUACGUGUGAAUAAGGCCUGGGUAAUUCCGGGCCAGCCGCCGCGGGAAUACGGAGGGUGCCGGCGUUAAUCGGAAUUACUGGGGGUAAAGGGCGCGUAGGCCGGAUAGCAAGGCCGAUGGGAAAUCCUAGGGGUUAACCAUAGUAGUGCAUUUGAAACUGUUGUUCUAGAGUAUGCGAGAAGUAGGUGGAAUGCGUGGUGUAGGGGUGAAAUGCGUAGAGAUCAAGAAGAAUACUGAUUGCGAAGGCAGCAUGCUAGAGCCUAACUGACGCUGAUGCGCGAAAGCGUGGGUAUCGAACAGGAUUAGAUACCCUUGUAGUC
rnacentral:rRNA from 1 species